rnacentral:rRNA from 1 species
UACGUAGGGUGCAAGCGUUGUCCGGAAUUAUUGGGCGUAAAGAGCUCGUAGGCGGUCUGUCGCGUCGGCUGUGAAAACCCGGGGCUCAACCCCGGGCCUGCAGUCGAUACGGGCGGACUGGAGUUCGGCAGGGGAGACUGGAAUUCCUGGUGUAGCGGUGAAAUGCGCAGAUAUCAGGAGGAACACCGGUGGCGAAGGCGGGUCUCUGGGCCGAUACUGACGCUGAGGAGCGAAAGCGUGGGGAGCGAACAGG